GAUGAAGAACGUAGCGAAAUGCGAUAAGUAAUGCGAAUUGCAGAAUUCAGUGAAUCAUCGAAUCUUUGAACGCACAUUGCGCCCGCCAGUACUCUGGCGGGCAUGCCUGUCUGAGCGUCAUUUCAACCCUCGCGCCCGGCUUCUGUCGGGGGCGGUGUUGGGGAUCGGCCUCCCGUCUUCCGGGCGGCCGGCCCCUAAAUGGAGUGGCGACCGCGCCGUAGCCUCCUCUGCGUAGUAGUGAAACACUCGCGGGCGGAGAGCGGUGCGGCCCGCCGUAAAACCCCCAACUCUUCUAAGGUUGACCUCAGAUCAGGUAGGAAUACCCGCUGAACUUAAGCAUAUCAAUAGCGGAGGA
rnacentral:misc_RNA from 1 species